rnacentral:misc_RNA from 1 species
GCUUCUCAGCGGCGCUCUUGAGCGUUUCUCGGAUCUUGAAGCGCGCCGUCUUUCGCGACGGUCGCUGCUUCGUGCCCGCGAUCACAAGGAUCGCAUCGCCGCCAUUCUCGCGCUUCUGUCGGAACUCAACCAAUUGACCGAGAACGAGAGGGACCGCACUGUUUUCGUGGAAAUGGCGCUGCUGUUUGAUGAAAUCGGCCAUUCGGCUGCGGCUGGGGCGGGCGCC